rnacentral:misc_RNA from 1 species
GAUGAAGAACGUAGCGAAAUGCGAUACGUAGUGUGAAUUGCAGAAUUCAGUGAAUCAUCGAAUCUUUGAACGCACAUUGCACCUCUCGGUAUUCCGGGAGGUAUGCCUGUUCGAGCGUCAUUUGUACCCUCAAGCUCUGCUUGGUGUUGGGUGUUUGAUCCGCCUCUGUGUGUGAACUCGCCUCAAAACAAUUGGCAGCCGGCGUACUUGUUUCGGAGCGCAGCACAUUUUGCGAUCCAGAUCAACGUACAGCGGCAUCCAAGAAGCCUUAUUUAACGCUCUUGACCUCGGAUCAGGUAGGGAUACCCGCUGAACUUAAGCAUAUCAAUAAGCGGAGGA